AGAGUUUGAUCAUGGCUCAGGAUGAACGCUGGCGGCGUGCUUAACACAUGCAAGUCGAACGAUGAAGCCAGCUUGCUGGUGGAUUAGUGGCGAACGGGUGAGUAACACGUGAGUAACCUGCCCUUAACUCUGGGAUAAGCCUGGGAAACUGGGUCUAAUACCGGAUAUGACUCCUCAUCGCAUGGUGGGGGGUGGAAAGCUUUUUGUGGUUUUGGAUGGACUCGCGGCCUAUCAGCUUGUUGGUGAGGUAAUGGCUUACCAAGGCGACGACGGGUAGCCGGCCUGAGAGGGUGACCGGCCACACUGGGACUGAGACACGGCCCAGACUCCUACGGGAGGCAGCAGUGGGGAAUAUUGCACAAUGGGCGCAAGCCUGAUGCAGCGACGCCGCGUGAGGGAUGACGGCCUUCGGGUUGUAAACCUCUUUCAGUAGGGAAGAAGCGAAAGUGACGGUACCUGCAGAAGAAGCGCCGGCUAACUACGUGCCAGCAGCCGCGGUAAUACGUAGGGCGCAAGCGUUAUCCGGAAUUAUUGGGCGUAAAGAGCUCGUAGGCGGUUUGUCGCGUCUGCCGUGAAAGUCCGGGGCUCAACUCCGGAUCUGCGGUGGGUACGGGCAGACUAGAGUGAUGUAGGGGAGACUGGAAUUCCUGGUGUAGCGGUGAAAUGCGCAGAUAUCAGGAGGAACACCGAUGGCGAAGGCAGGUCUCUGGGCAUUAACUGACGCUGAGGAGCGAAAGCAUGGGGAGCGAACAGGAUUAGAUACCCCCGUAGUCC
rnacentral:rRNA from 1 species